rnacentral:snRNA from 1 species
GGAUGUAAGGGUGACCUGGCUGUGACAUCUGUCACCCCACUGAUCGCCAGGGUUGAUUGGGCUGAUCUGGCUGGUUAGGCAGGUGUCCCCUUCCUCCCUCACUGCUCCAUCUGUGUCCCUCCCAAAGCUGCAUGCUCUGUCGAAGAGGACGACCACCCCCGCUAGAGAAGGACCGUUCCUCAGUCAAAGGUAUACGAGUAGCUGCGCUCCCCUGCUAGAACCUCCAAACAAGCUCUCAAGAAUGCGUGCUCCAGAGCCAGAAUGCACAAGUUCAAGGCCUAGUUCACCAUUUACUGGCUUUGA